UUGUCUGCUGUUCUAAUAUCUUCUUUUUCUUCUUCCUUUGUGCGUUAAGUAAUGUUUCCAACAAAUCAUUUGCAGGAGUGCUAAAACAGCUCGCUGUUUUGGGAUUUGCCGCCUCAAGUUUCAUCUAGCUACCUCGAACAAAUCCUUCAAUCUCCAUGGCUACAUCGAUAUCAACUCAAUAUACUAACGAGGAGGAAAUUAAAAGGAAGAGAAAGAAGCGAAAGAGAGUUGUUGUAUUAGCUGUGUCUAUUAUGGCUAUUAUUGCAAACCGGUAUCAACGGAGGAGACCUAGACACAUCGUAGAUGCUAACGAAGUUCAAGAGAGAAAUGUCGAGUCCAGAAAACAAAUGCUACGUAAUAUGUACCAGGGUUCAAAUGUCUAUUGCUAUGACAGUUUGCGCCUAACUAAGAGAUCUUUUAGUGACUUGAGUGCCAUCUUACGGGAAAAGAGUGGCCUACAGGAUACCUUAAAUGUGUCGGUAGAAGAAAAGCUUGCAAUUUUUCUGCUUAUAGUAGGUCAUAACACCAAAAUGAGGUUGAUCCGUAGCACUUAUGGGUGGUCUCUUGAACCAAUCAGUCGACACUUCAACGAAGUGCUUAGAGGGAUUCUAUUUUUAAGUCAUGAGUUCAUCAAGCUUCCUAAUCCAGAAACCACUCUACCUGAGGAUCCAAAGUGGAAAUGGUUUGAGGAUUGUCUAGGUGCACUAGAUGGCACAAGUAUCGAUGUGAAUGUUCCAUUGACUGACCAAGGUAGGUAUAGAAAUAGGAAGCAACGAAUCACCACUAAUGUAUUAGGGGUUUGUGAUCGACAAAUGAAGUUUUUGUAUGUCUUGGCUGGAUGGGAAGGGUCGGCUUCGGAUUCACGCAUACUACGUGAUGCCAUGUCACGGGAGGACUCAUUUGUUGUUCCUAGUGGUAAAUACUAUCUAGUGGAUGCUGGAUAUACAAAUGGUCCGGGAUUUCUUGCCCGUACCGAUCUACACGGUACCACUUGAAUGAAUGGGCUAUUCAAGGCAACAAUCCAUCUACUGCGAGAGAGUUAUUUAACCUACGCCAUGCAACGGCUAGGAAUGUGAUAGAGAGAACUUUUGGGCUAUUGAAGAUGAGAUGGGCAAUCUUGAGGACCAGCUCAUAUUUUGAUUUAGAAAACCAGAUUAGGAUCAUCCAUGCUUGCUGCAUAUUGCAUAAUUUUUUAAGAGAUAGACAAAGAGAUAUGGACGAUAUUCUAAUACAUGAAGUUGAUAGUCUCAUCUCUGCUGCUCCUGCUGAAAAUCAAGGAGAAAUGAGUCUGAUUACGCAUGUUCAAUCAACUAAUGAGUGGGGUAAUUUUAGAGACACCAAAGCUAGUGAAAUGUUUGUUGAUUAUCAAGCGAGGCGUGGUCAAAGCUCAUAGUUGACAAGAAAACAAGGGGCUAUGUUCCUUGGAAUGAUGAGAUGGAUAAGGUACUCCUCGAUACGUUUGUGGACUAUUACAAUAAAGGUGAUAGAUGUCAGAAUGGGUGGAAGUCUCAUGUAUACACAGCUGUUGUGAAGAAUGUUUGUGAGAAGUGCAAUGUCACCAUUACAAAGGAAAAUAUUAGCUCUCGCAGCAAGACCUUUGAUAAGCACUACAAUAUCAUUAAUGGUUUGUUGUC